GUUAGGAAUAUUGGACAAUGGGCGCAAGCCUGAUCCAGCCAUGCCGCGUGUGUGAAGAAGGUCUUCGGAUUGUAAAGCACUUUAAGUUGGGAGGAAGGGCAGUAAGUUAAUACCUUGCUGUUUUGACGUUACCGACAGAAUAAGCACCGGCUAACUUCGUGCCAGCAGCCGCGGUAAUACGAAGGGUGCAAGCGUUAAUCGGAAUUACUGGGCGUAAAGCGCGCGUAGGUGGUUUUGUAAGUUGGAGGUGAAAUCCCCGGGCUCAACCUGGGAACUGCCUCCAAAACUGCAUGACUAGAGUACGGUAGAGGGUAGUGGAAUUUCCUGUGUAGCGGUGAAAUGCGUAGAUAUAGGAAGGAACACCAGUGGCGAAGGCGACUACCUGGACUGAUACUGACACUGAGGUGCGAAAGCGUGGGGAGCAAACAGGAUUAGAAACCCCGGUAGUCC
rnacentral:rRNA from 1 species